CGAGACCGAGCGCCCUCCGGCGGGAGCUCGCACCGCCGGCGGGGGGGAGCCCCGCGCCCCCCGCCGCGUGCAGUGCGGAGCCGGCUGCCCCUCCCUCCCUCGGCCCCGCCCGCCCGCAGCACGCACCCGCACACCUCCCUCCCGCGACCGUGCCCGGCGCGCCCAGCCCUCCCCGGGCACGUCUCGGGCGUGCAGCAAGGAGCGGGCUCUGCGCUAGCUGGAUGCCGGGCUGGGCUGCAGAGGGGCCUGAAGCACGGGAUGGGACCCAAAGACGUGUCAUGAGGCUCAGGACAAAGUCCCGCGUAAGCCAGAUUCUGCUAGUCUCACUCGGUAAGGCACUGUUCAUUCUAAGGACUUGGGUCAGAUGGUGAAUAUGCAAAAAUGCUGCGAGGCAGCUGUUGUUUGUAAAAUGUAUAACAGAUCCCUCGUUCACAAGGACAGAGGAGGGGAGCCAGAAAGACACUAUUAAGAACAGUCCCUAAUCACCGUCACUUACGGCUCAAAUAAAGAUGGAUCAGAUCAUAAGGGCUUCUUUGAUGGCUUCUCCUUGGAUUGACGACGCAUCCCAAUUCCACUGUCCUUCAGCAGCAUACAUAACCCAGGAGUGCUCCAAACUGUGAAGGCUCGCAGCUCUGGAGGGGCUUACCGAGGACUCAGACAAGAUCAUAAUACAGAACCUCAGAGAAGGCACUGGUGUCUUGAACUUCUGUGCCACAAUAGUUAUUGCAUCGAUUUGUUUCUCACUAUUUCCUCCCUGAAGAUCCUCGUCUUUUCACAUAGGCAACUGACUCUAACACGCAGAGCAGUGGUUCUCAACCACUUUAGACUCUAGGCAGCUUUUAGUUUCCACUUAUUUUUUGAUUGUGGAAAAAUAAGAGCAAUUCUUCUGUGUCAAAGAAUUCAGAAAGACCACAACAGGUCAGAAAGUUUUUGUUGCUAUGGAUUCCUGAUUGAAAUCUCCGAGUUUAUCUUGUGAAUCAUGCGUAAGGUUCUGCACUUAAAGCAAAUAUUACACAAGAACUCCCUGACCACUUAAAAGGGUUUCAUGGCAGCCCAGGGUGUGGCAACAUGCUGGUUGAGAACCCUUGCUGUAGGGCAAAGAUGUAACCUAGUCUCUCAAAUGGAUGCAGAGCCCUUUCUUGCACCAUGAGUCUACACGUGGCCAUUACUUCUGAUCACAUCUUGUUAACCUUCCUUCAGGUCCUUUUCCUCCACCUGUUUCCUCUCCAUUUUUCUGGGUUUUUACCCUCUCUCAACAUCACUUUCUUCCAGUUUGUUGCUCAUUCAUUUUUCUCGUGAUCUGAACUCCCCACUCCUUCCUUUUUCCUCUUAUGUUUGUGGCUUCCCUGUUCUGCUUCAACUGCUGCCUACUCAGAGGGAUCCAAACUGGAGUAACAAAGUUUCUGGCCUGCAUGUUGCUGUACAACCAAGGGACACACUGUUUUACAUCAUCACAAGAGGAAAAAAAAAAAAAGUUGUUGCCCCACUAACUCCCAUGCUAAGAGUCUAAUGUGGGCAAAUAUGUACUCCAAUUAUCAUACAUACUAAAAAAAAUCAAGUUAAGCGCAAGCAGGAGCCUAACCUUUAACACGACCCAAUCCAGACAACACGGGUAUAAAAAUUCCUAUUUUUUUCCAAUAAAGAUAAGACCACUGUGGGAGGCCAAAGAGCAUGAGAAAAGAGAGAGGCAAAAAACAACAAAC